rnacentral:snoRNA from 1 species
CUGGCUCUGAAUCAAGGCCGGCAGCUUCCUGAUGCUGUUGGUUUCAAGCAGGAGCUAAAGAGAUGUCUUUCUGGGCUGGGGAUUUAGCUUAGCAGCAUAA